UAGGGAAUCUUCCGCAAUGGGCGAAAGCCUGACGGAGCAACGCCGCGUGAGUGAUGAAGGUCUUCGGAUCGUAAAACUCUGUUAUUAGGGAAGAACAUAUGUGUAAGUAACUGUGCACAUCUUGACGGUACCUAAUCAGAAAGCCACGGCUAACUACGUGCCAGCAGCCGCGGUAAUACGUAGGUGGCAAGCGUUAUCCGGAAUUAUUGGGCGUAAAGCGCGCGUAGGCGGUUUUUUAAGUCUGAUGUGAAAGCCCACGGCUCAACCGUGGAGGGUCAUUGGAAACUGGAAAACUUGAGUGCAGAAGGGGAGAGUGGAAUUCCAUGUGUAGCGGUGAAAUGCGUAGAUAUAUGGAGGAACACCGGUGGCGAAAGCGGCUCUCUGGUCUGUAACUGACGCUGAGGCUCGAAAGCGUGGGGAGCAAACAGGAUUAGAUACCCUGGUAGUCCACGCCGUAAACGAUGAGUGCUAGGUGUUAGGCCCUUUCCGGGGCUUAGUGCCGCAGCUAACGCAUUAAGCACUCCGCCUGGGGAGUACGACCGCAAAGGUU
rnacentral:rRNA from 1 species